AUUGAACGCUGGCGGCAGGCUUAACACAUGCAAGUCGAACGGUAACAGGGAGAAGCUUGCUUCUUUGCUGACGAGUGGCGGACGGGUGAGUAAUGCUUGGGAAUCUGGCUUAUGGAGGGGGAUAACUACUGGAAACGGUAGCUAAUACCGCGUAAUGUCUUUGGACUAAAGGGUGGGACUUUCGGGCCACCUGCCAUAAGAUGAGCCCAAGUGGGAUUAGCUAGUUGGUGAGGUAAAGGCUCACCAAGGCGACGAUCUCUAGCUGGUCUGAGAGGAUGACCAGCCACACUGGAACUGAGACACGGUCCAGACUCCUACGGGAGGCAGCAGUGGGGAAUAUUGCACAAUGGGGGGAACCCUGAUGCAGCCAUGCCGCGUGAAUGAAGAAGGCCUUCGGGUUGUAAAGUUCUUUCGGUAGCGAGGAAGGCAGACUUGUUAAUAGCAAGUUUGAUUGACGUUAACUACAGAAGAAGCACCGGCUAACUCCGU
rnacentral:rRNA from 1 species